rnacentral:lncRNA from 1 species
ACCAUUCAUAGACCAGAGUCAACAUUAUUCCAUUUCUUGUUCUUGUUCUUGUUCUUAACAAAGCUGUCCACAAUCUGCAAUAACGACAGGCUUAGCAGUCCUUCCACUGCUAGACCCAACUUUUUCAAUGGCUUUAACCACAUCCAUACCUUCAACAACUUGACCAAACACCACAUGCAUCCCAUCGAGCCACUCGGUCUUAGCGGUACAAAUAAAGAACUGAGAUCCAUUCGUUCCGGGACCGGCGUUCGCCAUGGAUAGUAUGCCGGGUCCGGUGUGCUUCUUGAUGAAGUUCUCGUCGGCGAACUUAGACCCGUAUAUCG